UACGUAGGGGGCAAGCGUUAUCCGGAAUCAUUGGGCGUAAAGCGCGUGUAGGCGGUUCCGUAAGUCCGCUCUGAAAGCCCAGGGCUCAACCCUGGGAGGCGGGUGGAUACUACGGAACUGGAGUACGGAAGAGGAGAUUGGAAUUCCUGGUGUAGCGGUGAAAUGCGCAGAUAUCAGGAGGAACACCGGUGGCGAAGGCGGGUCUCUGGGCCAAUACUGACGCUGAGGAGCGAAAGCGUGGGGAGCGAACAGG
rnacentral:rRNA from 1 species